rnacentral:rRNA from 1 species
AACGAACGCUGGCGGCAUGCCUAACACAUGCAAGUCGAACGAGACCUUCGGGUCUAGUUGCGCACGUGUGCGUAACGCGUGGGAACCUGCCCUUAGGUUCGGAAUAACUCCCCGAAAGGUGUGCUAAUACCGGUUAAUCUCUUCGGACCUAAGAUUUAUCGCCUUUGGAUGGGCCCGCGUUGGAUUAGCUAGUUGGUAGUGUAAAAGCCUACCAAGGCGACGAUCCAUAGCUGGUCGGAGAGGAUGAUCAGCCACACUGGGACUGAGACACGGCCCAGACUCGUACGGGAGGCAGCAGAAGGGAAUAUUGGAGAAGGGGCGAAAGCCUGAUACAGCAAUGCCGGGUGAGAGAGGAAGGCGUUAGGGUUGUAAAGCUCUUUUAGCCGGGAUGAUAAUGACAGUAACGGGAGAAUAAGCACCGGCUAACUACGUG